rnacentral:rRNA from 1 species
GAUGAACGCUGGCGGCGUGCCUAAUACAUGCAAGUCGAACGAAACUUCUUUAUCACCGAGUGCUUGCACUCACCGAUAAAGAGUUGAGUGGCGAACGGGUGAGUAACACGUGGGCAACCUGCCCAAAAGAGGGGGAUAACACUUGGAAACAGGCGCUAAUACCGCAUAACCAUAGUUACCGCAUGGUAACUAUGUAAAAGGUGGCUAUACUACCGCUUUUGGCUGGGCCUGCGGCGCAUUAGCUAGUUGGUAGGGUAAAGGCUUACCAAGGCAAUGAUGCGUAACCGAAUUGAGAGGUUGAUCGGCCACAUUGGGACUGAGACACGGCCCAAACUCCUACGGGAGGCAGCAGUAGGGAAUCUUCCACAAUGGGCGAAAGCCUGAUGGAGCAACGCCGCGUGGGUGAAGAAGGUCUUCGGAUCGUAAAACCCUGUUGUUAGAGAAGAAAGUGCGUGAGAGUAACUGUUCACGUUUCGACGGUAUCUAACCAGAAGGCCACGGCUAACUACGUGC